rnacentral:rRNA from 1 species
UACCUGCAGCUCAAGUGGUGACCACUAUCAUUGGGCCUAAAACGUUCGUAGCCGGUUUAUUAAAUGCUUGGGUAAAUCGUGUAGCUUAACUAUACGAAUUCCGGGUAGACUGAUAGACUUGAGACCGGGAGAAGCUAGAGGUACUCCUGGGGCAGAGGUGAAAUUCUGUAAUCCUGGGGGGACCACCAGUGGCGAAGGCGUCUAGCUAGAACGGGUCUGACGGUGAGGAACGAAGCCCUGGGGCGCAAACCGGAUUAGAUACCCGGGUAGUCCAGGGUGUAAACGCUGCUUGCUUGAUGUUAGUUGGGCUCCGAGCCCAAUUAGUGUCGGAGAGAAGUUGUUAAGCAAGCUGCCUGGGAAGUACGAUCGCAAGAUUGAAACUUAAAGGAAUUGGGCGGGGGAGCGACAGCAACGGGUGGAGCGUGCGGUUU